rnacentral:tRNA from 1 species
GGGGAUUUAGCUCAGCGGUAGAGCGCUUGCCUAGCGAGCACAGGGCCCUGGGUUCAGUCCCCAGCUCCG